GAUGAACGCUGGCGGCGUGCCUAAUACAUGCAAGUCGAGCGAAUGGACGAGGCUUUUGCUUCUAUGCUGUUAGCGGCGGACGGGUGAGUCCUACGUGGCUAACUUACAUAUAAGAAUAGGAUCAGUUAGGGAAAGCUAAGAUAACAUAGGUCAAUAUUUUGAAACGGAUGGAUCUUCAGAGCUCGAGCGACCUGAUGACACUUAUUGGUGGUAACACGCUGCAUUAGCUAGUUGGUACGGUAACGGCCUACCAAGGCAACGAUGCGUAGCCGACCUGAGAGGGUGAUCGGCCACACUGGAACUGAGACACGGUCCAGACUCCUACGGGAGGCAGCAGUAGGGAAUCUUGCGCAAUGGGCGAAAGCCUGACGCAGCAACGCCGCGUGAGUGAUGAAGGUCUUCGGAUCGUAAAACUCUGUUAGUUGGGAAGAACAUAAGUGUAAGUAACCGUGCACAUCUUGACGUUACCAAAACAGAAAGCCACGGCUAACUACGUG
rnacentral:rRNA from 1 species